AAAAAGACAAACCUGAUUUCCGUGUCCAACGUUUAACUGUCCAUCUUAUUUAAAAAAAUUAAAAAGAUAAGUCACGCAUAAAUUAUUAAUCAUAUUUUAUUAUUUAACAACAAUGAAAAUACUAAUUAUAGAAAAAUUUCAUAUAAAACAGACAGUCAAACGUUGACACGAAACCCCAGGGUUUAUCUUUUU
rfam:Oryza sativa Japonica Group DNA, chromosome 1, cultivar: Nipponbare, complete sequence.